rnacentral:tRNA from 1 species
GGAGUUGUGGCUCAGUGGUAGAGCACUUGCCUAGCAUGUGUGAGGCCCUGGGUUUGAUUCUCAGCACCA